AUGGAAUGUAUCCGAGGACUCUGGAAAACUCACAGGAUUCCACUGACUGGUAUGUGGGUUGAAAGAAGGGAGUUCAUUGACCCAGUGUGUGUCUGGGGGUGGCUUUGGAUGGGAUGUUUGGGAGGAAAAAGAGCAAAGAAAGAGGAUCCCAAGUUCUUGACCACUUGGCGAUCUUGAAGAAAGCUGGGGCCACACGAGUUUCUCUUCUCUCAGCGGCUCUAAGCCGGCUACAGAGCAGCUUGAAGUGGGGAGAUGAGAGCAGGCACUGGAGUCAGCUGGGGUAGGUUUAAAUCCCAAUUCUGCCAUUUCUUGCUGUGUGUCUUUCAGUAAAUUAUUUAAUUUCUUUAUCAGUCAGAAAAUAGAAACCCACUGGCUAUUUUACCAGAGAGAUUUUUUUUUUAAAGAUUGGCACCUGAGCUAACAUCUGUUACCAAUCUUCUUUUGUUUUUUCUUCUUCUCCCCAAACCCCCCCCCCCCCAAUACAUAGUUAUAUACACUAGCUGUAGGUCCCUCUGGCUCUGCUAUGUGGGAUGCCACCUCAGCAUGACCUAACGAGCGGUGCUAGGUCCGUGCCCAGGAUCUGAACUGGCAAAACCCUGGGCCACCAAAGUGGAGUGCGAGAACCCAGCCACUUGGCUACGGGGCCAGCCCCUUACCAGACAGAAUUUAACAGAGGGAAUUGGUUAAAUUGGUGCUGGAGGACAGCCAGUUAAAAAAAGCAACACAGCACAGGAUUGCAGGAAGCAGCUACCACCCCGACACCUGCAGCUUGAGGGGCAAAGAGAAGAAGCUGGGGUUCUCAGAAUCUAGAAGGUGGGAGGAGGGGCCUCGUAGAGCGGAAGCCCAGAUCUUUGAGGUGAAGGGCUAUUGUUGGGAGGAUGUUGACAGGAGCAGAAAGCAAGGAUAGGGACAAGUCCCUUUUCCCUCCUCCUGGUUCUCCCAUCGGCAGAGCCUGACAAGGCAAAGCAGAAAUGAGGUUUGCGAGUCCCAGAGCCCAGAGUCAUAAAACAUUGUACAUGGUGGCUGUGUAGCUUGCCCCCCUCUCUGAGCUUCAGCUUCUUCAACAAUGAAUUAGAAAUGAGAAGAGUACUUACCUCAAAAGCUUGUUAUGAGGAUUAAAUGAGAUAAUGACCAUAAAGUGCUCAGCCCAGUGUCUGGCAAUUGGCAGUGCUCUAAAUUUGGUGGCUUACUGUUAAUAAAUCAUAUUAAGGUCAGGACA
rnacentral:lncRNA from 1 species